AGCAGCCGCGGUAAUUCCAGCUCCAAUAGCGUAUAUUAAAGUUGUUGCAGUUAAAAAGCUCGUAGUUGAAUUUCGGGGUUAGUAGGUUGGUCAUGCCACUGGUAUGUACUGAUCUUACUGAUUCCUCCUUCCUGAUGAACCGUAAUGCCAUUAAUUUGGUGUUGCGGGGAGACUGGACUGUUACUUUGAAAAAAUUAGAGUGUUUAAAGCAGGCUAACGCUUGAAUACAUUAGCAUGGAAUAAUGAAAUAGGACGUUCGAUCCUAUUUUGUUGGUUUU
rnacentral:rRNA from 1 species